rnacentral:rRNA from 1 species
CUAGCGUUGCUCGGAAUCACUGGGCGUAAAGCGCACGUAGGCGGAUUGCUAAGUCAGGGGUGAAAUCCUGGAGCUCAACUCCAGAACUGCCCUUGAUACUGGCGGUCUCGAGUCCGGGAGAGGUGAGUGGAACUGCGAGUGUAGAGGUGAAAUUCGUAGAUAUUCGCAAGAACACCAGUGGCGAAGGCGGCUCACUGGCCCGGUACUGACGCUGAGGUGCGAAGGCGUGGGGAGCAAGCAGG